GAUUGAACGCUGGCGGCAGGCCUAACACAUGCAAGUCGAGCGGAUGAAGGGAGCUUGCUCCUGGAUUCAGCGGCGGACGGGCGAGUAAUGCCUAGGAAUCUGCCUGGUAGUGGGGGAUAACGUCCGGAAACGGGCGCUAAUACCGCAUACGUCCUGAGGGAGAAAGUGGGGGAUCUUCGGACCUCACGCUAUCAGAUGAGCCUAGGUCGGAUUAGCUAGUUGGUGGGGUAAAGGCCUACCAAGGCGACGAUCCGUAACUGGUCUGAGAGGAUGAUCAGUCACACUGGAACUGAGACACGGUCCAGACUCCUACGGGAGGCAGCAGUGGGGAAUAUUGGACAAUGGGCGAAAGCCUGAUCCAGCCAUGCCGCGUGUGUGAAGAAGGUCUUCGGAUUGUAAAGCACCUUAAGUUGGGAGGAAGGGCAGUAAGUUAAUACCUUGCUGUUUUGACGUUACCAACAGAAUAAGCACCGGCUAACUUCGUG
rnacentral:rRNA from 1 species